rnacentral:lncRNA from 1 species
CCAAUUGGAGUUAGUUUCUCAAUUGGAGUAGGAUUCAUAACUAGAUUCCAAUUAGGACUAAUAGUACUUAUUGAAGAAGACCUUUAUUAUGUCUAUAUAAAGGGGCUAUUGUACUCGUUUUGAAUUGGAAGGGAGCAAAACAAUAAAUUGUAUACCGCUCAAGGGAUUAGAGUGAGAGAAUAUUGUAAAGUGUGUGCGAGAGAAAAGAAAAGAGAUAGUGUAUUUCUUCUUCUUGUUCUUUCAGGUUUUUCAUCAAGUCCUAGUUCUAGAGAUUUGGCAAGAUUAUUGGUUGUACUCAUUAUUGAUAUGGUGAAAGAUUGUUGUUGCUGUCCCAUGGAUGUAGGCACAUAUUGCCGAACCACGUAAAUUCUUGGUGUUAUUUAUCUUGGUUAUUUGUUUUCGAUUUCCGAAGUUUGUUCUAUUUUUCCCAUUCUUAAACGCAAUAUUCUCAACAAGUGGUAUCAGAGCUAGGUUUGGUUGAUAUCGUUUAGAAUGGAGGGUGCAACCCGCUUUAAUUGGAUUACGUGGAAAUCAAGAGGAGGACAUGCUUUAUUGGACCAAGAUGAAGAUAAGCGAUGUUUUUUGGCAAAGAAGUCUAUAACUGCCUUUGCCAAGGACGAUGGUAGUUUGAUCAGGGGGAGCUUGGUUAUGGGUAAUUUGAUCAGGGGGUGUCUGGUCAUGAAAAGUUCGAUCAAUGGGAGUUUGGUCAAGAGGAACAAUCCUAUUUUUUGGUAUACCUUCCUCAUGGUCUGGAGGGGGAGAUUGUUAGGUUUUUCCAGCCCAUGAUAACUUGUCCUAAGUCUAUAAGGAAUUAUAGUCUUAGAGGAUUAAAUUGCUUUCCCAAUUGGCAAUUGGAGUAGGAUUCAUAACUAGAUUCCAAUUAGGAUCAAUAAUCCUUAUUGAAGAAGACCUUUAUUAUGUCUAUAUAAAGGGGCUAUUGUACUAGUUUUGAAUUGGAAGGGAGCAAAACAAUAAAUUGUAUACCGCUCAAUUUCUUCUUCUUGUUCUUUCAGGUUUUUUGUCAAGUCCUAGUUAUAGAGAUUUGGCAAGAUUAUUGGUUGUAGUUAUUAUUGAUAUAGUGGAAGAUUGUUGUUGUUGUCCUGUUUUUUUUUUUUUUUUUUUUUUUUUUGAAAAGAAACGAAAGAAUUUUAUAAAACGAAAGAAUUACAAAAAAGAAAAAAUAAACCACGUGGAAAAGAUAUCCACCUGGAGCUAGAAGAGAACUAGCAAGGACCCCUAAAGAAAACUAAUUGAACAGAGUUGUUGUUGUCCUGUGGACGUAGGCACAUAUUGCCAAUCCACGUAAAUUCUUGGUGUUAUUUAUUUUGGUUAUUUGUAUUCGAUUUCCGAAGUUUGUUCUAUUUUUC